UCUUGAAGUUUCGCAUGCAGU
rnacentral:miRNA from 1 species